UACGGGGGGAGCAAGCGUUGUUCGGAUUUACUGGGCGUAAAGGGCGCGUAGGCGGCCACCGCAAGUCGACUGUGAAAUCUCCGGGCUUAACCCGGAAAGGUCAACUGAUACUGUGCGACUAGAGUGCAGAAGGGGCAACUGGAAUUCUCGGUGUAGCGGUGAAAUGCGUAGAUAUCGAGAGGAACACCUGCGGCGAAGGCGGGUUGCUGGGCUGACACUGACGCUGAGGCGCGAAAGCCAGGGGAGCGAACGGG
rnacentral:rRNA from 1 species